rnacentral:lncRNA from 1 species
CUGAAUAUGUUGGAAAAAAGUGAAACACUGCCUGGCCAGUGAAGUGACGAAGUGCUACAGAUUAACAUAAAUCAUGAAAAUAAGUGUGCUGUUGGCAGCAAAAGAAUAUACUCAAUAACCUCUGGCGAGUCAGAUCAAUGGACAAAAUUGACCGGUCACGCAGACGCUCACAACGUACGUACGCAAACCUUACCUCUAUGAGCAUUUCAAAAUCUGAUAAAUCCUGAAAAAUUUACUCUAACAAGAAGUUGAACUCAGGACAUUAGAUGCUACUAAGGCCUUUGUAAUCACUAGGCUACAGGC